AAGAAGCCAAAGUAGUCUGCCCCAACUUGUUGCAAGUGAUACCCAAGAAGGGGGCCAGCUCUCCAGGGCCUCUCCUGACCUUUGGAGGAGUCAUACGCACCUUAGCACAAGAAAUGCCUGGGGAACCGGUGCUGCAUCUGGGACCCUGGAGCCUGCAGGAAUUGCAAGGGAAGAAUUGGUCCACGUCUGUGAGAGGAGGCCUCUGAAACACGCUGACUUCACAGAGGAGAAGGAAUGAGCUCAAUUUCAGGCACCUCCUCCGGGGCGGUCAAGAGCAGAAUGAAGGAGAACAUGUAUGGCCCUAGGUUGGCCUUGAAGAAUUAGAGAAGCUGCUGGUGCCCCGCCCCCAACCUGGCCCAACAGCAGAGCCUCCGCUAGGGGGAGCCGUGGAGACCUGAUUUCCUCUGCGCCGCCUUUCCUAAUGAAUACCCCAGGGGAGCUCCUGGCAGCACCCUGUGGAAUGGCCCCGCGGAGCUCUGGCCCCUGGAAUUUGCCCUUCACAAUUAUGCUCCCUGCUGGGAGAAGUAUAAAUAUGGAUGGAGCGUGGCGUCUUUAAACAUGGCACAAGAGUAGAGGAACAACCAAGUCCAAAUGAUAAUAUUUUGAAACGCCACGGGGAGCCUCUGCUGCUGUUGAGUUAGAAUUGCUUCUCUUUCAUGUGAUUAAAGAAGCCCUUGUGGGUUUUUGCUUUUCCUUAGAGACAUACCAUGGUUUCUCCCCCCGCACUACAGCACUGAACGAUUUUUAAGGUUUCUAAGUGCACUCCAUUUACAUUUCCUACUCAUUCUCUAAAUGAAAGGCAGGCUAAAACACAUUAAUGAGCUUCCUGAUUACUGCAGCCCUUGAGAAAUUAAUUAAUGACAAUGCAGCCACACUUAACAUUCCUCCUCCUUUCUGAGUUUGGAAAGCGGGAGGAGCUGCGCUUUAAUCCACGCCCAACCAAGAGCCACCAUGUGUCUUUAGCCGAAGAGUUGGUUUGCCAGGACACAUUUCAGAUUGCCUUUCCUAGAGAAAAGCCAUUCCCUGAAUAAUUAAGAGACAG
rnacentral:lncRNA from 1 species